UGGGGAAUUUUGGACAAUGGGGGAAACCCUGAUCCAGCCAUCCCGCGUGUGCGAUGAAGGCCUUCGGGUUGUAAAGCACUUUUGGCAGGAAAGAAACGUCAUGGGUUAAUACCCCGUGAAACUGACGGUACCUGCAGAAUAAGCACCGGCUAACUACGUGCCAGCAGCCGCGGUAAUACGUAGGGUGCAAGCGUUAAUCGGAAUUACUGGGCGUAAAGCGUGCGCAGGCGGUUCGGAAAGAAAGAUGUGAAAUCCCAGAGCUCAACUUUGGAACUGCAUUUUUAACUACCGGGCUAGAGUGUGUGAGAAAGGGAGGGAAUUCCGCGUGUAGCAGUAAAAUGCGUAGAUAUGCGAGGGAACACCGAUGGAGAAGGCAGCCUCCUGGGAUAACACUGACGCUCAUGCACGAAAGCGUGGGGAGCAAACAGG
rnacentral:rRNA from 1 species